CGCAACCCUUGUCUUUAGUUGCCAUCAUUCAGUUGGGCACUCUAAAGAGACUGCCGGUGUCAAACCGGAGGAAGGUGGGGAUGACGUCAAGUCCUCAUGGCCUUUAUGACCAGGGCUACACACGUACUACAAUGGCCGGUACAAAGGGCAGCCACUUAGCGAUAAGGAGCCAAUCCCGUAAAGCCGGUCUCAGUCCGGAUUGGAGUCUGCAACUCGACUCCAUGAAGUUGGAAUCGCUAGUAAUCGCAGAUCAGCACGCUGCGGUGAAUACGUUCCCGGGCCUU
rnacentral:rRNA from 1 species